rnacentral:rRNA from 1 species
ACGAACGCUGGCGGCGUGCCUAAUACAUGCAAGUCGAACGGUCUUUUCUAUGGAAGCUUGCUUCCGCUGAGAAGAUAGUGGCGAACGGGUGAGUAACACGUGGGUAACCUGCCCAUAAGAGGGGGAUAACAUCCGGAAACGGGUGCUAAUACCGCAUAGGUUUCUUGAUCGCAUGAUUGAGAAAGGAAGACGGCCUUUGUGCUGUCGCUUAUGGAUGGACCCGCGGCGUAUUAGUUAGUUGGUGGGGUAACGGCUCACCAAGGCCACGAUGCAUAGCCGGCCUGAGAGGGUGACCGGCCACACUGGGACUGAGACACGGCCCAGACUCCUACGGGGGCAGCAGUGGGGAUCGUGCACAAUGGGCGAAAGCCUGAUGCAGCGACGCCGCGUGA